rnacentral:rRNA from 1 species
CCUACGGGCGGCAGCAGUGGGGAAUAUUGGACAAUGGGCGAAAGCCUGAUCCAGCCAUGCCGCGUGUGUGAAGAAGGCCUUCGGGUUGUAAAGCACUUUCAGUGGGGAAGAAAGCCUUGGGGCUAAUACCCUCGAGGAAGGACAUCACCCACAGAAGAAGCACCGGCUAACUCCGUGCCAGCAGCCGCGGUAAUACGGAGGGUGCGAGCGUUAAUCGGAAUUACUGGGCGUAAAGCGCGCGUAGGCGGUCUGAUAAGUCGGUUGUGAAAGCCCCGGGCUCAACCUGGGAACGGCAUCCGGAACUGUCAGGCUAGAGUGCAGGAGAGGAAGGUAGAAUUCCCGGUGUAGCGGUGAAAUGCGUAGAGAUCGGGAGGAAUACCAGUGGCGAAGGCGGCCUUCUGGACUGACACUGACGCUGAGGUGCGAAAGCGUGGGUAGCAAACAGGAUUAGAUACCCGAGUAGUC